UUAAGCGACUAAGCGUACACGGUGGAUGCCCUGGCAGUCAGAGGCGAUGAAGGGCGUGCUAAUCUGCGAUAAGCGCCGGUAAGGUGAUAUGAACCGUUAUAACCGGCGAUACCCGAAUGGGGAAACCCAGUGUGAUUCGUCACACUAUCAUUAACUGAAUCCAUAGGUUAAUGAGGCGAACCGGGGGAACUGAAACAUCUAAGUACCCCGAGGAAAAGAAAUCAACCGAGAUUCCCCCAGUAGCGGCGAGCGAACGGGGAGGAGCCCAGAGCCUGAAUCAGCAUGUGUGUUAGUGGAAGCGUCUGGAAAGGCGCGCGAUACAGGGUGACAGCCCCGUACACAAAAGCGCAUGUGCUGUGAGCUCGAUGAGUAGGGCGGGACACGUGGUAUCCUGUCUGAAUAUGGGGGGACCAUCCUCCAAGGCUAAAUACUCCUGACUGACCGAUAGUGAACCAGUACCGUGAGGGAAAGGCGAAAAGAACCCCGGCGAGGGGAGUGAAAAAGAACCUGAAACCGUGUACGUACAAGCAGUGGGAGCACCCUUUGGGUGUGACUGCGUACCUUUUGUAUAAUGGGUCAGCGACUUAUAUUCUGUAGCAAGGUUAACCGAAUAGGGGAGCCGGAGGGAAACCGAGUCUUAACCGGGCGUUAAGUUGCAGGGUAUAGACCCGAAACCCGGUGAUCUAGCCAUGGGCAGGUUGAAGGUUGGGUAACACUAACUGGAGGACCGAACCGACUAAUGUUGAAAAAUUAGCGGAUGACCUGUGGCUGGGGGUGAAAGGCCAAUCAAACCGGGAGAUAGCUGGUUCUCCCCGAAAGCUAUUUAGGUAGCGCCUCGUGAAUUCAUCUCCGGGGGUAGAGCACUGUUUCGGCUAGGGGGCCAUCCCGGCUUACCAACCCGAUGCAAACUGCGAAUACCGGAGAAUGUUAUCACGGGAGACACACGGCGGGUGCUAACGUCCGUCGUGAAGAGGGAAACAACCCAGACCGCCAGCUAAGGUCCCAAAGUCAUGGUUAAGUGGGAAACGAUGUGGGAAGGCCCAGACAGCCAGGAUGUUGGCUUAGAAGCAGCCAUCAUUUAAAGAAAGCGUAAUAGCUCACUGGUCGAGUCGGCCUGCGCGGAAGAUGUAACGGGGCUAAACCAUGCACCGAAGCUGCGGCAGCGACACUGUGUGUUGUUGGGUAGGGGAGCGUUCUGUAAGCCUGUGAAGGUGUGUCGUGAGGCAUGCUGGAGGUAUCAGAAGUGCGAAUGCUGACAUAAGUAACGAUAAAGCGGGUGAAAAGCCCGCUCGCCGGAAGACCAAGGGUUCCUGUCCAACGUUAAUCGGGGCAGGGUGAGUCGACCCCUAAGGCGAGGCCGAAAGGCGUAGUCGAUGGGAAACGGGUUAAUAUUCCCGUACUUGGUGUUACUGCGAAGGGGGGACGGAGAAGGCUAUGUUGGCCGGGCGACGGUUGUCCCGGUUUAAGCGUGUAGGUGUGUGUUCCAGGUAAAUCCGGUUCACUUUAACACUGAGGCGUGACGACGAGGCACUACGGUGCUGAAGCAACAAAUGCCCUGCUUCCAGGAAAAGCCUCUAAGCAUCAGGUAACAUCAAAUCGUACCCCAAACCGACACAGGUGGUCAGGUAGAGAAUACCAAGGCGCUUGAGAGAACUCGGGUGAAGGAACUAGGCAAAAUGGUGCCGUAACUUCGGGAGAAGGCACGCUGACACGUAGGUGAAGUGAUUUACUCAUGGAGCUGAAGUCAGUCGAAGAUACCAGCUGGCUGCAACUGUUUAUUAAAAACACAGCACUGUGCAAACACGAAAGUGGACGUAUACGGUGUGACGCCUGCCCGGUGCCGGAAGGUUAAUUGAUGGGGUCAGCGCAAGCGAAGCUCCUGAUCGAAGCCCCGGUAAACGGCGGCCGUAACUAUAACGGUCCUAAGGUAGCGAAAUUCCUUGUCGGGUAAGUUCCGACCUGCACGAAUGGCGUAAUGAUGGCCAGGCUGUCUCCACCCGAGACUCAGUGAAAUUGAACUCGCUGUGAAGAUGCAGUGUACCCGCGGCAAGACGGAAAGACCCCGUGAACCUUUACUAUAGCUUGACACUGAACAUUGAGCCUUGAUGUGUAGGAUAGGUGGGAGGCUUUGAAGUGUGGACGCCAGUCUGCAUGGAGCCGACCUUGAAAUACCACCCUUUAAUGUUUGAUGUUCUAACGUGGACCCGUUACCCGGGUUGCGGACAGUGUCUGGUGGGUAGUUUGACUGGGGCGGUCUCCUCCUAAAGAGUAACGGAGGAGCACGAAGGUUGGCUAAUCCUGGUCGGACAUCAGGAGGUUAGUGCAAUGGCAUAAGCCAGCUUGACUGCGAGCGUGACGGCGCGAGCAGGUGCGAAAGCAGGUCAUAGUGAUCCGGUGGUUCUGAAUGGAAGGGCCAUCGCUCAACGGAUAAAAGGUACUCCGGGGAUAACAGGCUGAUACCGCCCAAGAGUUCAUAUCGACGGCGGUGUUUGGCACCUCGAUGUCGGCUCAUCACAUCCUGGGGCUGAAGUAGGUCCCAAGGGUAUGGCUGUUCGCCAUUUAAAGUGGUACGCGAGCUGGGUUUAGAACGUCGUGAGACAGUUCGGUCCCUAUCUGCCGUGGGCGCUGGAGAACUGAGGGGGGCUGCUCCUAGUACGAGAGGACCGGAGUGGACGCAUCACUGGUGUUCGGGUUGUCAUGCCAAUGGCACUGCCCGGUAGCUAAAUGCGGAAGAGAUAAGUGCUGAAAGCAUCUAAGCACGAAACUUGCCCCGAGAUGAGUUCUCCCUGAGACUUAAAGUCUCCUGAAGGAACGUUGAAGACGACGACGUUGAUAGGCCGGGUGUGUAAGCGCAGCGAUGCGUUGAGCUAACCGGUACUAAUGAACCGUGAGGCUUAACCUU
rnacentral:rRNA from 1 species